rnacentral:tRNA from 1 species
GGGCGCGUGAUGAGUACACCUUGACAUGGUGGGGGUCGUUGGUUUGAGUCCAAUCGCGCCUACCA